GCAGCUUUAGAUGGAACUGUUUUAGUGGUGGGAAGUGGUUUAAUGUCUGUCCUACCAGAAAAUCCAAAGAGCUUGACAUUCUGUGUUCAAUUCCACUUUCUAGGCAAUAUAAACUAAACUGGUACACUCUCCUCAAUUCUUGAAGUCUGAGGAUUAAAAAUCUGUGUAAUUCUGCUGGGAUACUCAUGCAUAGGCUCACAGGAGAACAGAUAUUCUCUCUAGAGGAGGAUUCUUCUUCAAAUUUCAUGACAGGAUGGUACUUGAAUCAUGCUCCCUGCCUUGCAGUUACAAAAUACUGCUACCACAGGCUCAGAAGAGAUGCAGAGGAGAUCAGCCCAG
rnacentral:lncRNA from 12 species